UAAGCGGAGGAAAAGAAACUAACAAGGAUUCCCCCUAGUAACUGCGAGNNNNNNNGGAAAAGCUCAAAUUUAAAAUCUGGUGGUCUUUGGCCAUCCGAGUUGUAAUUUAGAGAAGUGUCUUCCGCGCUGGACCGUGCACAAGUCUCCUGGAAUGGAGCGUCAUAGAGGGUGAGAAUCCCGUCUUUGGCAUGGACACACCAGGGCUUUUGUGAUGCGCUCUCGAAGAGUCGAGUUGUUUGGGAAUGCAGCUCAAAAUGGGUGGUGAACUCCAUCUAAAGCUAAAUAUUGGCGAGAGACCGAUAGCGAACAAGUACCGUGAGGGAAAGAUGAAAAGCACUUUGGAAAGAGAGUGAAACAGUACGUGAAAUUGUUGAAAGGGAAACGCUUGAAGUCAGUCACGUCGACCGAGACUCAGCCUUGCCUCGGCUUGGUGUACUUCUCGGCUGACGGGUCAGCAUCAAUUUUGCCCCUUGGAUAAUGGCGAGGGAAAUGUGACACCUUUAUGGUGUGUUAUAGUCUCUCGUCGCAUGCAAGGGUUGGGAUUGAGGAACUCAGCACGCGCCUUUUGGUGUCGGGGCUUUGCCCACGAUACGUGCUUAGGAUGUUGGCAUAAUGGCUUUAAACGACC
rnacentral:rRNA from 1 species